rnacentral:rRNA from 1 species
AUUGAACGCUGGCGGCAUGCUUUACACAUGCAAGUCGAACGGUAACAGGCCGCAAGGUGCUGACGAGUGGCGAACGGGUGAGUAAUGCAUCGGAACGUGCCCAGUCGUGGGGGAUAACGCAGCGAAAGCUGCGCUAAUACCGCAUACGAUCUAUGGAUGAAAGCGGGGGACCGUAAGGCCUCGCGCGAGUGGAGCGGCCGAUGGCAGAUUAGGUAGUUGGUGGGGUAAAGGCUCACAGAGCCAACGAUCUGUAGCUGGUCUGAGAGGACGAACAGACACACUGGGACUGAGACACGGCCCAGACUCCUACGGGAGGCAGCAGUGGGGAAUUUUGGACAAUGGGCGCAAGCCUGAUCCAGCAAUGCCGCGUGCAGGAAGAAGGCCUUCGGGUUGUAAACUGCUUUUGUACGGAACGAAAAGGCUCUGGAUAAUACCUGGGGCUCAUGACGGUACCGUAAGAAUAAGCACCGGCUAACUACGUGCCAGCCGCCGCCGUAAAAC